rnacentral:rRNA from 1 species
AAAGGUGAAGGACUUACUCUUCGGAGUGAGAGCGUACACAGGUGCUGCAUGGCUGUCGUCAGCUCGUGUCGUGAGAUGUGGGUUAAGUCCCGCAACGAGCGCAACCCUGCAUUCAGUUGCCAUCGGUAAGGCCGGGCACUCUGGAUGGACUGCCGGCGACAAGCCGGAGGAAGGUGGGGACGACGUCAAGUCAUCAUGGCCCUUAUGUCCAGGGCGACACACGUGCUACAAUGGCCGGCACAACGGGAAGCGAAGGGGCGACCCUGAGCGGAUCCCACAAAAGCCGGUCUCAGUUCGGAUUGCAGUCUGCAACUCGACUGCAUGAAGUUGGAAUCGCUAGUAAUCGUGGAUCAGCCAAGCCGCGGUGAAUACGUUCCCGGGCCUU